rnacentral:rRNA from 1 species
CCUACGUGGCGCUGCAGUGGGGAAUAUUGCACAAUGGGGGAAACCCUGAUGCAGCGACGCCGCGUGAGUGAAGAAGUAAUUCGUUAUGUAAAGCUCUAUCAGCAGGGAAGAAAAUGACGGUACCUGAGUAAGAAGCCCCGGCUAACUACGUGCCAGCAGCCGCGGUAAUACGUAGGGGGCAAGCGUUAUCCGGAUUUACUGGGUGGAAAGGGAGCGUAGACGGCAGUGCAAGUCUGGAGUGAAAGGCGGGGGCUCACCCCCCGGACUGCUCUGGAAACUGUACGGCUGGAGUGCAGGAGAGGUAAGUGGAAUUCCUAGUGUAGCGGUGAAAUGCGUAGAUAUUAGGAGGAACACCAGUGGCGAAGGCGGCUUACUGGACUGUAACUGACGUUGAGGCUCGAAAGCGUGGGGAGCAAACAGGAUUAGAUACCCCUGUAGUC